AACGAACGCUGGCGGCAGGCCUAACACAUGCAAGUCGAGCGCGCCCUUCGGGGUGAGCGGCGGACGGGUGAGUAACGCGUGGGAACGUGCCCUUUUCUACGGAAUCGCCUCGGGAAACUGAGAGUAAUACCGUAUACGCCCUUUGGGGGAAAGAUUUAUCGGAAAAGGAUCGGCCCGCGUUGGAUUAGGUAGUUGGUGGGGUAAUGGCCGACCAAGCCGACGAUCCAUAGCUGGUUUGAGAGGAUGAUCAGCCACACUGGGACUGAGACACGGCCCAGACUCCUACGGGAGGCAGCAGUGGGGAAUCUUAGACAAGGGAGGCAACCCUGAUCUAGCCAUGCCGCGUGAGAGAGGAAGGCCUUAGGGUUGUAAAGCUCUUUCAGCUGGGAAGAUAAUGACGGUACCAGCAGAAGAAGCCCCGGCUAACUCCGCG
rnacentral:rRNA from 1 species